rnacentral:rRNA from 1 species
UACGAACUGUGCGAACGUUAUUCGGAAUCACUGGGCUUACAGGGUGCGUAGGCGGCUAUUCAGGUCAGGUGUGAAAGCCCUCGGCUCAACCGAGGAACUGCGCUUGAAACCGGAUGGCUCGAGUCAGCUAGAGGUGCACGGAACUUCCAGUGGAGCGGUGAAAUGUGUUGAUAUUGGAAGGAACACCGGAGGCGAAAGCGGUGCACUGGGGCUGGUCUGACGCUGAGGCACGAAAGCCAGGGGAGCGAACGGG